UGUUGAACACAGUUGUUUAAAAAGGGGAAUGGGCGCUCCCAGGGAAGAUGUACGUGCUUAAAAUCCAGGUGCCCAGAGGUGUGGGACAAAGGCCAUCUGUGGAUGCAACAUGUAUAAGAUGCUGAAAUUCAGUGCAGAGGACUGCUACGAAACAUGGUGAACUGACUACAAGGACACUUUGGCUUUCCAUGUCAGUACAAGACAGCACUAUUCCAUCACAUAGAAGAACUUCCAUUUCACACUUGACUGAAAGUCAAAACAUGAAGUCCCCAAAUAGAUGCCUUUUUUGGAUUACAUCAGUCUGAGUGGCCAGCAUGUAUUAAAAUUGCAUGUGUCAGA